rnacentral:rRNA from 1 species
AUGGUAUUCUGUCGUGCCCUCCGCCAUAUCAUCCGGGGCAUCAUGCGUGAGUGGCUCACAGAGGGAGUCUCGUCGCUGGUCAUCUUCGCCGCUAUGUCUCGAGACGCGUGGACGGCUCUUCAUACCAGUUUUGCUUCGCAGUCUCAGGCGCGGGCUCAUGCUAUUCGCACUACGCUUUGGGAAGGUGAAGCUUCAUGA